GGUUUAGUGGAAGAAGCCCUUCCUUUUACAGAAGCAGCUGGCGAGCCCAGCUCAGGGAAGCUUAGUCUGCUGCCCACAGGGCUUCUCAGUCAGGGCUCCCUCCCUGCUUCCUUCGCAGCCUCUCCCUGGGCCCUGCUUUAGUCUCUGGUGAAGAAGCCCCAGCAUAAGUAGGAGACCAAUCAGGGAACAAAAGAGCAAAGGCUUGCAGGGAUGUGGGGCCACAUCUUUCUGACCAAAGGUAAACGAUAGGGCUUUCUGGCCCAGUGCUGUUCACUCUGUGUCCUUCUCCAGCCUCCCCAGGGCGGCCCCAGGUUCCAUCAGCCCAGAGGUAGCUUCUCAGAGCCCCUUGUUCCUUCCUGCAGACGCCACUAUCAGGAGCAGGUUUCCAACUCCCUGCAGGCAGUAUACCUCUCCUUAAAUGCAGGUUCUUGCUGGGAACAGCGUGACCUGGCAUCCUCUCGUCACUUUUUCUAGAAGUUGUACCAUUCACAAGUGGCAUUAUUUAUAUUUAUGUUGUGCUGCUAAGAGCCCUUCAUGUGCACAGACCCUGGCCAGAUGGAUGUGACUGUGUGGUGUGUCUUAGCCUAGAACCUGCAGCUUAACUCCUCUGUCAGUCACCUUUCCAGUCAGAUUUACUGGCUGAUAAUGCUCACCGUUUACCCUCUACCCCCACGAAAGGCAAACUUUGCAGUUUGCAAAGUUGUCUUAAAGUGAUGAUCUCCAAACAGGUAUGUUAGGAAAAUCUUUUCCCCCUCCUUGUUCUCCUGCCUGGCUUUUUUUCCCCUCAAAUCUCUCCCUUCCUAAAUUGUAGAACAUCAUCUCUGUUUAACACUACAUGUUUGCCUCAUGUGUUUUGGAAGUGCAGAAUCUCAAUUUAUGUCUGUUUACAGCUCUCUUUAUUCACUACUCACUGCAAGGGAGUCUGUAUCAGUUUGUUUUAUUUCAUGGCUGAUUGGAUGUUCAGGUGAGCCCUGGCAUCUACCUAGCUCAGAACACAAAGCUGCUUCUUGGUGGAAAUAAAAUUAAAAAGGCUUGACUUGAUGUACAGGAGUCGGCUCCAAGUCUGCCUUAGAAUUUAAUUUUCCAAGGUACAUUACGCAUCUCCAAGACCAUUAAGAGGAAAGGAAAGAGUACGGUUUAUAUUGAAAUCAUGGUUAAUACUUUUAGACAGUCCUGCUAGUUGCAAAGCUAUUUGCACUCACGGCAUCAGCCUGUGACAUUUCUUCCCUGUCCUUUAAUCCCCGGGUCUUUCUCUGGCCAGGGGACAUAAAUGGUGCUGAGCUGAGGUUACCAGAGUCGCGGUCGGGAGUAAUGGUGAAGUUGCCUGCUGUCAGCCAUGUUCUUUUGUUUCAAUCAAGGUGAUGCUGUGGAAGUGGUUUUGUUUUACUGAAAUUUACUGAACAAUAAAAUAUGUGACUCUGUUGUAAACCAUGUUAGUGGAUGUGUGACCAAGAGGAAAAUGAAAAACUGCCAUCCAGCGGGUCUUGAUAACUAGACAGUCCCGUGUAUGUCAUGUGCCUGUGUGCAUGUGUACGUUCUGAAUGGUACGUGUAGAAAUGCGGGUCAUGCAGGGACUCAUGAAGAUUUUGUUUUGGGUUCUGCACACGGAUCAUGUGUUAAACUUUUCCUUAAUAAAUGAGCUUUAUUUUUUAUUUUUGAGA
rnacentral:lncRNA from 1 species